UACGUAGGGGGCUAGCGUUGUCCGGAAUCAUUGGGCGUAAAGCGCGUGUAGGCGGUCCGGUAAGUCCGCUGUGAAAGUCGGGGGCUCAACCCUCGGAUGCCGGUGGAUACUGUCGGGCUUGAGUACGGAAGAGGCGAGUGGAAUUCCUGGUGUAGCGGUGAAAUGCGCAGAUAUCAGGAGGAACACCGAUUGCGAAGGCAGCUCGCUGGAACGGUACUGACGCUGAGGCGCGAAAGCGUGGGGAGCGAACAGG
rnacentral:rRNA from 1 species